AUUCCAGCUCCAAUAGCGUAUAUUAAAGUUGUUGCAGUUAAAAAGCUCGUAGUUGGAUUUCUGGCGUCGCCGCCCGGUCGGCCUCGAAAGGGGUUCGCACUCGUUGGCGCGCGUCGCCAUCCUCGGGGGAAGGCCGCCUGGCAUUAAGUUGUCGGGCGGUCGACGCUCGUCGUUUACUGUGAACAAAUUAGAGUGUUCAAAGCAGGCUUAGGCCGUUGAAUACAUUAGCAUGGAAUAAUGAGAUAGGACUUUGGUGGUCUAUUUUGUUGGUUUGCACGCCGAAGUAAUGAUUAAUAGGGGCGGUUGGGGGUAUUCGUAUUCAAUUGUCAGAGGUGAAAUUCUUGGAUUUAUGGAAGACGAACUACUGCGAAAGCAUUUACCAAGGAUGUUUUCAUCG
rnacentral:rRNA from 1 species